GUGUUAUUAGUAUAAGUUUAUUAUUACACCUUUCCAAGGUGAAGAUCUAAAGGUGUU
rnacentral:tRNA from 1 species